UACGUAGGGGGCAAGCGUUUGUCCGGAAUCAUUGGGCGUAAAGCGCGCGUAGGCGGCCCGGUAAGUCCGUUGUGAAAGUCAAAGGCUCAACCUUUGAACGCCGAUGGAUACUGCCGGGCUAGAGUCCGGAAAAGGCGAGUGGAAUUCCUGGUGUAGCGGUGGAAUGCGCAGAUAUCAGGAGGAACACCAAUAGCGAAGGCAGCUCGCUGGGACGGUACUGACGCUGAGGCGCGAAAGCGUGGGGAGCGAACAGG
rnacentral:rRNA from 1 species